GGGGAUGUAGCUCAGUGGUAGAGUGCUUGCCUAGCAUGCAUAAGGCCCCAAGUUCCAUCCCCA
rnacentral:tRNA from 1 species